rnacentral:rRNA from 1 species
GAUGAACGCUGGCGGCGUGCCUAAUACAUGCAAGUCGAGCGAAGCGGGGACGGGGGAGUAAAACGUGGAUAACCUCCUAUAAGACUGGGAUUACUUCGGGAAACCGGUGCUAAACCGGAUACUCUUAGAUGGUUCGUGGCUGCAUUGGGUAGUUGGUAAGGUAACGGCUUACCAAGGCAACGAUGCAUAGCCGACCUGAGAGGGUGAGCGGCCACACUGGAACUGAGACACGGUCCAGACUCCUACGGGAGGCAGCAGUAGGGAAUCUUCCGCAAUGGGCGAAAGCCUGACGGAGCAACGCCGCGUGAGUGAUGAAGGUCUUCGGAUCGUAAAACUCUGUUAUUAGGGAAGCGUUACCUACUCAGAAAGCCCCGGCUAACUCCGUGCCAGCAGCCGCGGUAAUUC